GGGACCUCUGAAUCAUCGCUGUGUCUAGACACAUCAAAGGGCAAGCUGCCUGUUUCUCAGGCUCACCAAACCCAGUCAGGAGCACUAAUGCGGCAGGUCUCCCUCUGAAUCACUCAGACCAGAGGGAGGGCGCGGAGAGGUGAGCAGGUUCACCCGGCUGGAUUCGCUCUUGGGCGCAGGCAACAUUCCUCCCUGGGGAAGGCAAAGUCAUGUUGCCUCUUGCCAAAGACAGUCAGGAGAACCCCGGAGCCCCAAGAACACUUUCCCUCAUAAUUCAUUGGCAAGAAUCAACUCAUAUGCCUCCAAUUGAAUGAAGGGGAAUGAAAUGAUCAGGGAUGGCCAAGGCUUUAAGCAAGACACGAACUCUAAGGAUGCGGAUGGUCUGUGCUUACUAUGAGAACCUGAUACCUGAAGUUAGGAUUCCACUGACCAGAGAGGUCCAAGAUAUUUGGAAAGAGGAGAGGCUGUGCCAAGUAAAGAUAAAUAAGCCCACAAACCUCCCUAGAAGAGACACACACAUAUCCUCCACAUCUGGAUCAGGGUGGUGACGAUGAUG